UCCCUGAUGGUCCAGUGGUAAGACUGUGAGCUCCCACUGCAGAGGGCCUGGGUUCAAUCCCUGUUCAGGGAA
rnacentral:tRNA from 1 species